rnacentral:rRNA from 1 species
AAUGAACGCUGGCGGCAUGCCUAACACAUGCAAGUCGAACGAAGGCUUCGGCCUUAGUGGCGCACGGGUGCGUAACGCGUGGGAAUCUGCCCUUGGGUUCGGAAUAACUCGCCGAAAGGCGUGCUAAUACCGAAUGAUGACGUAAGUCCAAAGAUUUAUCGCCCAGGGAUGAGCCCGCGUAGGAUUAGCUUGUUGGUGAGGUAAAAGCUCACCAAGGCGACGAUCCUUAGCUGGUCUGAGAGGAUGAUCAGCCACACUGGGACUGAGACACGGCCCAGACUCCUACGGGAGGCAGCAGUGGGGAAUAUUGGACAAUGGGCGAAAGCCUGAUCCAGCAAUGCCGCGUGAGUGAUGAAGGCCUUAGGGUUGUAAAGCUCUUUUACCCGGGAUGAUAAUGACAGUACCGGAGAAUAAGCUCCGGCUAACUUCGUGCCAGCAGCCGCCGCGGUAAC